UACGAAGGGGGCUAGCGUUGUUCGGAUUUACUGGGCGUAAAGAGUGUGUAGGCGGUGCUCUAAGUUCGGUGUGAAAUCUCCUGGCUCAACUGGGAGGGUGCGCCGGAAACUGGAGUGCUUGAGCGUGGGAGAGGAAAGCGGAAUUCCUGGUGUAGCGGUGAAAUGCGUAGAUAUCAGGAGGAACACCUGUGGUGUAGACGGCUUUCUGGACCAUAGCUGACGCUGAGACACGAAAGCGUGGGUAGCAAACAGG
rnacentral:rRNA from 1 species